GAAUCAGCGGGGCCCAUCCCGUAAGGCUAAAUACUCCCGAGAGACCGAUAGCGAACCAGUACCGUGAGGGAAAGGUGAAAAGAACCCCGAGCAGGGGAGUGAAAUAGACCCUGAACCCGUCUGCCUACAAGCGGUCGGAGCGUCGUAAUGACGUGACGGCGUGCCUUUUGCAUAAUGAACCUACGAGUUACCUUCCCCGGCAAGGUUAAGUUCUUGAGGAACGGAGCCGAAGCGAAAGCGAGUCUGAACAGGGCGCCAAGUCGGGGGGGGUAGACGCGAAACCGAGUGAUCUACCCUUGGCCAGGUUGAAGGUUGGGUAACACCAACUGGAGGACCGGAUGGGUAAGCGUUGAAAAGCUUUCCAAUGAGCUGAGGGUAGGGGUGAAAGGCUAAUCAAACUCGGAGAUAGCUCGUACUCCCCGAAAUGCAUUUAGGUGCAGCCUCUUUAUAGUAUAUCGUGAGGUAGAGCGACUGAUUGGAUGCGAGGGCUUCACCGCCUAUCAAGUCCAGAUAAACUCCGAAUGCGCGAUAUAUAUUUACAGGGAGUGAGGGCGCGGGUGCUAAGGUCCGUGUCCGAGAGGAGAAGAAUCCAGACCACCGGCUAAGGCCCCCAAAUGAUCGUUAAGUUGAACUAACGAGGUCGGAUCGCAGAGACAGCUAGGAUGUUGGCUUGGAAGCAGCCAUUCAUUUAAAGAGUGCGUAACAGCUCACUAGUCGAGCGAUCUGGCGUGGAUAAUAAUCGGGCAUAAACGAUCUGCCGAAGCCGUGGAUGUCGCAAGACAUGGUAGGGGAGCAUUCCAUGCCGCGUCGAAGAUGAGGGAUGACCCUUGUUGGAGCGCAUGGAAAAGCAAAUGUAGGUAUGAGUAACGAUAAGGGGGGCGAGAAACCCCCCCGCCGAAAGACCAAGGUUUCCUGAUCAACGCUAAUCGGAUCAGGGUGAGUCGGGACCUAAGGCAAAGCCGAACGGCGCCGCCGAUGGAAGAAUGGGUUAAUAUUCCCAUACUGCCUCAUGGAGUGACGUGGAGACGGAGAAGUGACAGUCCUGCCGGCUGACGGAAUAGCCGGUUGAAGGGUGUAGAUAUUGAUUCCCGUAGGCAAAUCCGCGGGGAGAGUCGAACCUGAGAGUAUACGGAGCGCUUGCGCAACGUAAUAUGGACGUAACCAUGCUCCCGAGAAAAUCCGCUAAACUUAUCCAUGCGGCACCCGUACCGUAAACGGACACACGUGGUCGGGUUGAGAAUACUGAGGCGCUCGAGUGAUUCACGGUUAAGGAACUAGGCAAAUUGACCCUGUAACUUCGGGAUAAAGGGUCCUCGUCGUAAGGCGAGGCGCAGAGAAUAGGUCCAGGCAACUGUUUAACAAAAACACAUGGCUGUGCUAAAUGGAAACAUGAUGUAUACAGCCUGACACCUGCCCGGUGCCGGAAGGUUAAGAGGAGAUGUCAUCCGCGAGGAGAAGCGUUGAAUUGAAGCCCCGGUAAACGGCGGCCGUAACUAUAACGGUCCUAAGGUAGCGAAAUUCCUUGUCGGGU
rnacentral:rRNA from 1 species